AAAUAAGAAGCAAAAUAUUGCAUUCAGUUUCGACCUGACAGUUGAUUAGUUAAUCCUUAUUUA
rnacentral:tRNA from 1 species